rnacentral:rRNA from 1 species
GACAGCAGUAGCCGCGGGAAUACAGAGGGUGCGAGCGUUAAUCGGAUUUACUGGGCGUAAAGCGUGCGUAGGCGGCUUUUUAAGUCGGAUGUGAAAUCCCUGAGCUUAACUUAGGAAUUGCAUUCGAUACUGGGAAGCUAGAGUAUGGGAGAGGAUGGUAGAAUUCCAGGUGUAGCGGUGAAAUGCGUAGAGAUCUGGAGGAAUACCGAUGGCGAAGGCAGCCAUCUGGCCUAAUACUGACGCUGAGGUACGAAAGCAUGGGGAGCAAACAGGAUUAGAUACCCCCGUAGUCCCUGUCUCUUAUAC